UGUAGGAGCGUAUUGUGAGAUGAUGGGGCUGGUCCUAGGUCCCAGCUUCAGCCACCCCAAGCCCCCUUGAUCCGGGAGGCUGGCCCCCUAGAGAAGGAAGCAUGUUUCUUCUCCCGUGGCUCACCGAUUGUGACAUUUGUGAGGACACAUCAGGUGCUGUUCUCACUCGACGGGCCACCAUCUACUCCUAGGAUCAAUUAUUUGAAGUCUCAAGUUGGUCUAGACCUGGUCAGCAAGCCACAGUCCCUCUGGCUUUCAUUCUGGGCUUUGUUUCUUGGUACCACAAAGCACUCCUGCCGGUCUUCUGCAGUCCCACCUAUCUUCUGCAGUCCCCGCCCAUCUUCUGCGGUCCUCGCCCAUCUCUUGCAGUUCCCACCUAUCUUCUGCAGUUCCCGCCCAUCUUCUGCAGUUCCCGCCCAUCUUCUGCAGUCUCCGCCCAUCUUCUGCGGUCCCCGCCCAUCUUCUGCCAGUUGAGGCAGGAGUGUGUCUCAGAGAUUCUGGCUCCUGUCCGUGAGAGGAGUCACACAAAGGACACCAGAAACCAGUGUAACCUGCUAGUGCCCAAAACACUCAUCAGAAAAUGGGAGGAGAUGGGCUUAGGCCUCAACUCGGCGCCAGAGUGUUUGUUUAGCUCGCACAAGGCCCUGGGUUCAAACCCAGCACCACAAAAAUAAAGCGUGAGGA